rnacentral:rRNA from 1 species
CUACGGGGGGCUGCAGUAGGGAAUAUUGGACAAUGGGCGAAAGCCUGAUCCAGCAACGCCGCGUGCACGAUGACGGCCUUCGGGUUGUAAAGUGCUUUUAGAGGAGAUGAGAAAGGACAGUAUCCUCUGAAUAAGCCUCGGCGAACUACGUGCCAGCAGCCGCGGUAAAACGUAGGAGGCAAGCGUUAUCCGGAUUUAUUGGGCGUAAAGCGCGUGCAGGCGGUUUGACAAGUUGGAUGUGAAAGCUCCCGGCUUAACUGGGAGAGGUCGUUCAAAACUGUCAGACUAGAGAAUGGGAGAGGGAGGUGGAAUUCCGGGUGUAGUGGUGAAAUGCGUAGAUAUCCGGAGGAACACCAGUGGCGAAAGCGGCCUCCUAGACCAUUUCUGACGCUAAGACGCGAAAGCUAGGGUAGCAAACGGGAUUAGAUACCCCUGUAGUC